rnacentral:misc_RNA from 1 species
CAGCAUACUAUUCCUGGAUUUGUCAUGAAUCAAGCAAAAGGGUCUCUCACCACAUCGCUUCUCUUCCUGUUUUUCCACUUCUGCAUAUCUAUUGACACUAUAACGCCAACCCAGUUCAUCAAAGAUGGUGAUAUUUUAGUCUCUAAAGGAGAACGUUUCGCACUUGGGUUCUUCAGCCCAGGCACUUCUACUCGUCGCUACGUCGGAAUUUGGUACAACAAAGUUUCAGAACAAACCGUUGUCUGGGUGGGAAAUAGAGAUAAUCCUAUCAAUGAUGCCUCUGGGGUACUCACUAUCAACAGUCAAGGUAACCUUGUCUUGUACGAGAAAAACCAAACUAUUCCUCUCUGGUCCACCAAUUUCUCUACAUCAACGAGUAAUUCCAUGGCUCAGCUCCAGGAUUCGGGAAAUCUUGUUUUGCUUCAGCGGGAUACUGAAAGGUUCUUAUGGCAAAGCUUUGAUUAUCCUACAGAUACCUUACUUCCUAACAUGAAGCUUGGAUUGAACAGAAGAACUGGCAAGAAUUGGGUUCUUACUUCUUGGAAAUCAAAAGAUGACCCUGGAACAGGUGACAUUGUCUACAGAAUCGAUCCAAGUGGGGUGCCUCAGUUGUUUCUAUAUAAGGGUUCUGUUCGGUGGUGGCGAGGCGGACCAUGGACAGGAGAAAGAUGGAGCGGAGUACCCGAGAUGACACGUAAUUACAUCUUUAAUGUCAGUUUUGUGAACAAUAAGGAUGAGGUAUCCAUCGCGUAUGGUUUGACUAAUCCCUCAAUCGUCUCAAGAAUGAUGGUCAAUGAGUCAGGAAACGUGCAACGGGCCACGUGGAAUCAAAGAGACCAUAGGUGGAUCGGGUUUUGGUCCGCCCCGAAAGAACAAUGUGAUAACUAUGGCGAAUGUGGUGCAAAUAGUAAUUGCGAUCCAUAUGAUUCUGAUAGUUUCAUAUGCAAAUGUUUGCCAGGAUUCGAACCAAAGUCACCAAGGGAUUGGUACCUGAGAGAUGGCUCAGGUGGUUGUAUCAGGAAAGCCGGCGUGUCAACGUGUCAAAGUGGGGAAGGGUUCGUGAAGAUGGAACGCGUGAGAGUUCCAGACACUACAAAGGCACAAGCGGACAUGAACUUGAGCUUGAAGGUAUGUGAGCAAGAGUGCUUGAAGAAUUGUUCCUGCACGGCUUACACAAGUGCAGAUGAGAGAGGGUUUGGGUGUAUGAGAUGGUAUGGAGAUUUGGUUGAUACAAGAACCUAUUCCAGUGUGGGACAGGACAUAUAUGUACGUGUGGACGCAGCUGAGUUAGGUAUUUCUCUGUUUUGCUACCAACUUCUUUAUUAUAUAUAUUCAUUUUUCUUUGUUCUGAUUGAUCAAAUAGGAUUAGGAUCGAGUCUCUAUUAGGUUCCUUUUGGAUUACUCUAUACUUCAUUUUCUAGGAAAAUGAAUGAUAUAUAUAUAUAUAUGGAGUAAUGUAUUUGAUUACACAGUGAAAAGCAAUAUUCUCUUUUUCUUAUAAACUUUAAAAAUGGAUAAAUUUAAAAAAAUUCAAAAUCAAAUUAUUCUUAUUUGUUAUACUUUUGAAGGUGGAGAAAUACCCAUUAGCAAGCCUUAAUAGUCAAUAGUACAAAUCACCAUUAUAGCUUGAUCAAGACAAAGCGAAUUGACAUUUUAACUAGUCAUUUGUUAAGAUGGGACAUCUCUUUGCUUGAUUUUCUAGACGAGGUUGAGUUAAUAGAUUCCACGUAUUUAUAUCAUGUAGUGACCAUAAAUUAAGUUCAUAAAUUAAGUUUUGACAAAAAUUUGUUCCGUGACUAAAACCCUAAUUAAAAUUUUUCUUUUUCUUUUUUAUAACAUUGUUCACUUUGCUAUUUUUCUACUUAAUUUCAGCUAAAUAUGGUAAGUCGAAAGGUCCUCUCGCCAAGAAGGGAGUGCAAGCAAUAAUGAUAGUUUCUAUUAUUGCUGUAACAUUAUUUCUUCUAGCCUUCUCAGCAUAUUGUUUCGUUCGGAGGAAGAGAAAAGGUAAUCAAAUUUCUUGGUGGUUUGUCUAAUUUGUAUGUUGUAAUAGAUCAUUUACAAGGUAAAUCUUUGUUUUUUUUUCCAAACUAAACAAUUAGUUUGUUAAUUAUAAAUGCUCAGCUAGAGACAGACGCAGCAAAUCUUUG